CACGUAGGGGGCAAGCGUUGUCCGGAUUUAUUGGGCGUAAAGAGCUCGUAGGCGGUUCCGUAAGUCGGGUGUGAAAAAUCUGGGCUCAACCCAGUGGAGCACCCGAUACUGCGGUGACUGGAGUCCGGUAGGGGAGUGUGGAAUUCCUGGUGUAGCGGUGAAAUGCGCAGAUAUCAGGAGGAACACCGACGGCGAAGGCAGCACUCUGGGCCGGUACUGACGCUGAGGAGCGAAAGCAUGGGGAGCGAACAGG
rnacentral:rRNA from 1 species